rnacentral:ncRNA from 1 species
CAAAAGGUUUGGUCCUAGCCUUCUUAUUAGUUAUUAGAAAAAUUACACAUGCAAGACUCCCCAAACCAGUGAAAAUGCCCACCCUAAUCUUAAUUGAUUAUAAGGAGCCGGUAUCAAGCUCACUUCAGUUGCUCAAGACACCUAGCCUAGCCACACCCCCACGGGACCCAGCAGUGAUAAAAAUUAAGCCAUAAACGAAAGUUUGACUAAGUUAUUCUUUUUAGGGCUGGUUAAUCUCGUGCCAGCCACCGCGGUCAUACGAUUAGCCCAAACUAAUAAGCCCCCGGCGUAAAGCGUGUUUAAAAAANUUUCACCCUACCAAUAAGAUGAAACCCACGCUAAUACGUAAAAAUUCAUAGCCCAAGGGAAGAUAAACCACGCAAGUGAUCUUAGACCCCUGAAGACACGAUAGCUAAGACACAAACUGGGAUUAGAUACCCCACUAUGCUUAGCCCUAAACCAAGGUAGCUAAAACUAACAAAACUGCCCGCCAGAGAACUACAAGCCAGCGCUUAAAACUCAAAGGACUUGGCGGUACUUUAUAUCCACCUAGAGGAGCCUGUUCUAUAAUCGAUAAACCCCGAUCAACCUCACCAUCUUUUGCUAAUUCAGCCUAUAUACCGCCAUCUUCAGCAAACCCCUACAGGGAAUAAGAGUAAGCUUAAUAAUUACCCAUAAAGACGUUAGGUCAAGGUGUAGCCAAUGAGAUGGGAAGCAAUGGGCUACAUUUUCUUAUCAAGAAUAUAUACGAUACUUCCCUUGAAACAGGGAAGAGAAGGAGGAUUUAGUAGUAAAUUGAGAAUAGAGUGCCUAAUUGAAUAGAGCAAUGAAGUACGCACACACCGCCCGUCACCCUCCUCAAAUAUUUAGGAGAAUUAAUCUGUAAUUUACCCAACAAAAAUAUAAGAGGAGAUAAGUCGUAACAUGGUAAGCAUACUGGAAAGUGUGCUUGGAAUAAU